rnacentral:lncRNA from 1 species
UAAUAAGAUAAGAUAGAGUUGGACACGGGAUUUCACAAUCCCAACAGAAUAGUCUAUGAUUUCUACUGGUGCAAGUAUGGUUCUUAAUCACGCUUCUCUAGUUGGCAUUUCAUUGAAAAGCCUGCAAAUCUGCUAGCUAGUGAAGUUUGCUUGAUCAGAGUUUCAAUGCCCCAUAGUGUUUUAGUACUGAAGCUGUUACACGGAUGAUGAAUGGAGGAACUCUAUAAACACAUGUCGAAAAUUGGUGCAGAUGAUGAGUGUUUGGUUGGUGACUGAAAGAAAUGUAUAAUCUAUGGAUAGUGUUAGUUGCUUUGACUUUUUGAAUCUAUUGACAGAGGGUUAGGUUUUGCUACUUAAGCUAUGCAU